GACGAACGCUGGCGGCGUGCCUAAUACAUGCAAGUAGAACGCUGAAGGGGGAGCUUGCUUCUCCGGAUGAGUUGCGAACGGGUGAGUAACGCGUAGGUAACCUGCCUGGUAGCGGGGGAUAACUAUUGGAAACGAUAGCUAAUACCGCAUAAGAGUAGAUGUUGCAUGACAUUUGCUUAAAAGGUGCAAUUGCAUCACUACCAGAUGGACCUGCGUUGUAUUAGCUAGUUGGUGGGGUAACGGCUCACCAAGGCGACGAUACAUAGCCGACCUGAGAGGGUGAUCGGCCACACUGGGACUGAGACACGGCCCAGACUCCUACGGGAGGCAGCAGUAGGGAAUCUUCGGCAAUGGACGGAAGUCUGACCGAGCAACGCCGCGUGAGUGAAGAAGGUUUUCGGAUCGUAAAGCUCUGUUGUAAGAGAAGAACGAGUGUGAGAGUGGAAAGUUCACA
rnacentral:rRNA from 1 species